GAUGAACGCUGGCGGCGUGCUUAACACAUGCAAGUCGAACGAAGCGCUUUGACCUCUUCAGAGUGACGAGCGACUGAGUGGCGGACGGGUGAGUAACGCGUGGGUAACCUGCCUCGUACAGGGGGGACAACAGUUGGAAACGACUGCUAAUACCGCAUAAGCGCACGGUAUCGCAUGAUACAGUGUGAAAAGCUGAGGCGGUACGAGAUGGACCCGCGUUGGAUUAGCUAGUUGGUGGGGUAACGGCCUACCAAGGCGACGAUCCAUAGCCGACCUGAGAGGGUGACCGGCCACAUUGGGACUGAGACACGGCCCAAACUCCUACGGGAGGCAGCAGUGGGGAAUAUUGGGCAAUGGACGCAAGUCUGACCCAGCAACGCCGCGUGAAGGAAGAAGGCUUUCGGGUUGUAAACUUCUUUUACCAGGGACGAAGAACGUGACGGUACCUGGAGAAAAAGCCACGGCUAACUACGUG
rnacentral:rRNA from 1 species